UGGAAGUAAAAAGUCGUAACAAGGUCUCCGUUGGUGAACCAGCGGAGGGAUCAUUACUGAGUUACCGCUCUAUAACCCUUUGUGAACAUACCUAUACGUUGCUUCGGCGGCCGUCCCCCGGGGCGUCCGCCGGAGGAUAACCAAACUCUGAUUUAACGACGUUUCUUCUGAGUGGCACAAGCAAAUAAUCAAAACUUUUAACAACGGAUCUCUUGGUUCUGGCAUCGAUGAAGAACGCAGCGAAAUGCGAUAAGUAAUGUGAAUUGCAGAAUUCAGUGAAUCAUCGAAUCUUUGAACGCACAUUGCGCCCGCCAGCAUUCUGGCGGGCAUGCCUGUUCGAGCGUCAUUUCAACCCUCAAGCACUGCUUGGUGUUGGGGCUCUACGGUUGACGUAGGCCCCCAAAACUAGUGGCGGACCCUCUCGGAGCCUCCUUUGCGUAGUAACUUUUGUCUCGCACUGGGAUUCGGAGGGACUCUAGCCGUUAAACCCCCCAAUUUUUUAAAGGUUG
rnacentral:rRNA from 1 species